ACUCAUCUUUUUUUGUAAAAUGUCUGGGGUCUUUGGUUCGUGUCCAGAAUAAUUUUUCUGCCAUCUAUUUCUAAUCCUAGCACGUCUGCAUAUGGAAUAACGAAUUUUCUUCUAAGGAUGGCCGAUUUUCCUCUUUGAUGUUCGAUGACAAAUGUGCCCGGCUGUUGUGGUUUGCUUGAGUUUAACUUCAUAGCAAAUAACUCGUGUGUUACUCUUGGAUCGGCUCUUGUUAUGUUAAGACUUUGAACCGUUGGUUUGAUACUGUUCAUGUUUGUUGAGCUAUUCACCAUUCAAUUGUUGGAUUCGAUAUUUGGCCAAGGACUAACACAAAUACCACCGUCGGCAUCUUUAUUUGAUUCUUUUGUCUGAAACAAUUAACGGAGGUAAGUUAAUAUGAUCUGAUUUUAGCCUGUGCUCUAAUUCCUCGCUCUAUCGAAGAACUGACAGUUCACUGAAAUCGAUCAUUUGUUUCUAGAGGCAAAUGAUUAGUUACUGUUAGACAUUAUUUUGCUCAGUGAUUUGUAAGUGUGUAAUUUUUUUUUCAUUUCUUUCUUUCAUGUCUUAUGUAUCCUUCGAAUUUAUUAUUUUUAUGUAUUUACAUUAGGUCAUAAGUGAUGUGUUUUUAUAUGGGGUUUAGGACUCCUUUACAGAUUGUCUUUGGCCUUAUAACCAUUGAUUGAAAUGAAUAAAUACUGUUAGAUACAUGUAUGUUGA